AUACGGAGGGUGCAAGCGUUAUCCGGAUUUAUUGGGUUUAAAGGGUGCGUAGGCGGUUUGAUAAGUCAGCGGUGAAAUAUUUCAGCUUAACUGGAAGGGUGCCGUUGAUACUGUCAGGCUUGAAUUUAGUUGCUGUGGGUGGAAUGUGUGGUGUAGCGGUGAAAUGCAUAGAUAUCACACAGAAUAUCGAUCGCGAAGGCAGCUAGCUAAGCUAUAACUGACGCUCAUGCACGAAAGCGUGGGGAUC
rnacentral:rRNA from 1 species